GCAAAGAUUGUAACAAGCGAUGAAAGUGGGAUAACUUACAAUAACGUCACUGAGAGUAGCUCGGAAUCAAAGUGUGAAAAGUGCCAACGAAAGUUAAAGUCGGACUUUAUCCCAAGAAGAAAAUGUUGUCUAUGUGACUAGGUUAUCGAGAAUUGCUGUUCUAUAAGUUCUAUAAACAACCAAAACAAGCUAUGGAAAAUAGGAAAAGAGCCCAUGAUCAUGCCAAGUUGUACACAUUUGUAGCAAUCUGCCAAAAAUGAUACGAGUUUAAACAAGAUGUUUUUCUUCACCCACCUUAUAGCCCCAACCUGCAUUUUCCGGUUGUUAUUUUUUUGAUCUUACGAAGCUUCUUUAAUGCAAAACUUUGUGUUUUCAUUAGGUGUAAGAAAGCAUAUUGACCAGUUUAUCGAAAUAAGGAUUUUAAUCUAAAAAAAAAAGGAUUAAUAAGCUGCUCGAAAGAUAGGCGAUGGUUAUCGCUAAUAACCGCCGAUGUACAACAAAUUGAGAUUGUUUGGACAGAAAAUCGUUUUCAUCCUAAAUUAGCUACAAUUUGAAAACGAGUUUAUGGGACGAUCCAAUACGUCAGGACUGGACAUGAAAACCUCAAAAGAAAAUUCAACAAACAUCUUAAAAACGAGGCGAGACAAUAACGGGCAGGCAUCACAUAUCAUUUUCAUCAAAAUUUUCUUCUUCAGCCUCGAGUAAUCCUGAAAAAGGCAUCUACAAGGCACUCCAAGGUAAAUUCGCUCGAAAUUAUCGGAAGAUGCACAAAUAGCGUACGACGACAACGAGACAGAGAAC